GCUAAACAAGUAAAAUCCAUGGAAGCUGAAGAGUCACAGAUUACUGGAAACGUAGAAUGUAGGGCUUGAAGGAAUUAUAAAAACCUCAACCCCAAUCCCACAGAAGAAAUGCAGGUUACAACAAUUCAAAUACUUCCUCCUCUAAAAUAAGACAUCUGAAGACACAGAACUGCUAUACAAGACAGAUGUGCUGAACACUGUAAGCCUGUGUCAAAGCAUCUAGAAAUGCAGUGUCACUCCAGUGUGGGGUAACAGAAGAAGUGAGAUGAAAGAACAGAGAGGAUAGCAUCGAAAGUUUAGCACAUAACCUGAAAAUUGCCAAGAAUUGACCCAAAGUCCUUAAUAUUGUCAUAACAUCUGCUGCAAGCACUAAUGUCAAAUUUGGCUCUAUAAAUACUGAUUUGAACUCUUGUGCAAAAUCUCUGACCUAAAAUACUGCAGCUAAAAUACUGCAAGUCCACCAACAGGGAAGGCACACUCUUGGAAAUUCAAAUUUGCUAGAACAGCUUU